rnacentral:rRNA from 1 species
GAUCCUGGCUCAGGAUGAACGCUAGCUACAGGCUUAACACAUGCAAGUCGCGGGGCAGCAUGGGGUAGCAAUACCCUGAUGGCGACCGGCGCACGGGUGAGUAACGCGUAUCCAACCUUCCCACUACUACGGGAUAACCCGUUGAAAGACGGACUAAUACCGUAUGAUAUCGUUCGAUGACAUCAGAAGACGAUCAAAGGUCAGCGGUAGUGGAUGGGGAUGCGUCCGAUUAGCUUGUUGGCGGGUAACGGCCCACCAAGGCGACGAUCGGUAGGGGUUCUGAGAGGAAGGUCCCCCACAUUGGAACUGAGACACGGUCCAAACUCCUACGGGAGGCAGCAGUGAGGAAUAUUGGUCAAUGGGCGCAAGCCUGAACCAGCCAAGUAGCGUGCAAGGAUGACGGCCCUAUGGGUUGUAAACUGCUUUUAUGCGGGGAUAAAGUGAGGGACGUGUCCCUCAUUGCAGGUACCGCAUGAAUAAGGACCGGCUAAUUCCGUGCCAGCCGCCGC